UCCUGUGGUGCAGGGGAGGAGAGGAGAGAUGGAGGGUGACAGAAUGAUUGGAAAGCCUUUUAGGAGAAGAUCUUCUCAGGCUAGAGGAGAAUAAAGGACAUCGGGUAGAGCUAGGUGGAGACCACUAAGUCACCGCCUGGGUCCUCAGUGGGCUUUGAGAGGACUCACGCCUGGCUUGAGGGAGAAAACCGGCAUCUCAAGUCAGUCCCGAGAGCUGGACAGCGGCUUCGGUUUGGGUCUUACCCAAGCAUGGGCUAUGCGAGCUCUGCCUGCAAGGAGACG